AACGGCAAAGGAGCAUGUCUAAAAUGAUUUUCAUUGGUCAACGAGUCUACGUCGACAGUAUGCAAGCCAGGCUCUGUCUCAACAGAAAAAUAAAUAGAUUACCGCAGAGCAACUUCAGCCUGUAACCAGCUAGCUUUCUAGAUGUAGAAGUAGCUUCGUAAUGGUGAAAUGCGCCAUGCAAACCUUUCAACCACCAUUCCAGUAUGUUCCCAGUCACCUGGAAUUACAAAUAGAAUCUACAUUAUCAUGAAGAAAAUUAUACGUAUGCAUCGGAGGCAGAAAAUUUAUUCAAGCUCUGAAGUCCCAAACAACUGAAAAUGCUCCAAAACACCAUCACGUGACCCUGUAGCAGACACUACAUCUGCCUAUGAGCAAUGGACAGAACUGAGAAUACCAUAUCAUGAACCGUAGUGAACAUUGCUGGCAACAUCCUGUUUUAGGAUCGAUUUCUCUACAUACAAGCCCCACCAGUGCAGUUGGCACACAACAGCAUCCCUCCUGAUCAAGUGAAAAGGAAUCCUAUGACACCGCUUGAUCUUUGUCUGACAUGGAAAUUUGCAAAUCAAAUAAGGUGGAAGAAUAACAUCUGGUUAAAAAAUUUAUGUGGAAAAAUAUCUGCUUUAAAGUGAUGUCAUGAACUGGAUGCUGCACUCUUGAUUCCAACACUAAUAUUGUCAUGACCAAAUGUUAAAGUUCAUAUUCAGCAAGUUGAAGAUAACUGACACCAUCUUAAAGUAUAAGUUUCACAAAUAUGGUAUUCAGAAGUUUUUUGUUUUCACUACUGAUGUAUAUAUAGUAUAAAAAAAUUGAUUUCUGUAAUAGAAUAAAGUAUUGGAAUACA
rnacentral:lncRNA from 1 species